AUACGGAGUGUGCAAGCGUUAAUCGGAAUUACUGGGCGUAAAGCGUACGUAGGCGGUUAGUUAAGUUAGAUGUGAAAGCCCCGGGCUUAACCUGGGAACUGCAUUUAAAACUGGCUAACUAGAGUUAAGUAGAGGGGAGUGGAAUUUCAGGUGUAGCGGUGAAAUGCGUAGAGAUCUGAAGGAACACCAGUGGCGAAGGCGACUCCCUGGACUUGACCUGACGCUGAGGUACGAAAGCGUGGGUAGCAAACGGGAUUAGAUACCCUAGUAGUCC
rnacentral:rRNA from 1 species